GCCCAGUGACUCUGUUCAACGGCCGCGGUAUCCUAACCGUGCGAAGGUAGCGUAAUCACUUGUUCUUUAAAUGAGGACUAGUAUGAAUGGCACUACGAGGGUUAUACUGUCUCCUUUUUCUAAUCAGUGAAAUUAAUUUUCCCGUGAAGAAGCGGGAAUAUAACUAUAAGACGAGAAGACCCUAUGGAGCUUUAAACAACCCAGCAAUUACUUCUAAAAAUUUUAAAUUUCAGAAUAUUCAUUUUUUUAAGUAAUAUGUCUGCAAGUUUUUGGUUGGGGUGACCAUGGAGAAUAACUUAACCUCCAUAUUGAAUGAACUCCAUUCUAAGCUGAAAAUUACCAAUUAAAGCAUCAACACACUGACAUUUAUUGACCCAAUAUAUUUGAUCAACGAACCAAGUUACCCUAGGGAUAACAGCGCAAUCCACUUCAAGAGCCCCUAUCGACAAGUGGGUUUACGACCUCGAUGUUGGAUCAGGGUAUCCCAGUGGCGCAGCC
rnacentral:rRNA from 1 species